rnacentral:rRNA from 1 species
UGUUUCCCGAUUUUGAGAGGAGUUAUUGGUAUAUUUUAGUUACUGUUUCAUUAGUAUUAAUAAUGUGCUGUUGGUAAUGAAAUGUUAUUCGUCUUUGUUGGUAUCUGGUUUUCCGAGAAAUGAAUUUAAUUCAUGCGUUUUAUUUAGAUUUAUUAUUGUUUUAUUUUAUUUUUAUAUUUCGUUAAGAUUAGGGGGGAUUAGCUCUCUAUUUUAUUUUUAUAACUUUUUAUUGUUUUAAUUCUUGUUGAUUUUAUAUUGAUUUUCAAUUUGAUUAUGUUAAAAUUUUAUUUUAUUUUUAUUUAAUUUGUCUUUGUUUAGGAUUUAUAUUGGAGUAUUCUUUUUAAUUAUGUUUUGUGUGGUAAUUAUUGUGAUAUUAGUAAAUUUUAUUUUAUCUUGUUUAAAUUUUUGGAUUUGUUAAUUUCUUCUGAGGAAUUAGGCAAAGGGUUUGUGUUCGCCUGUUUAACAAAAACAUCUUUUCUUGUUAGUUUUUGAAGUAUGGUCUGCCCACUGAUUUUUUGAAGGGCCGCGGUAUUUUGACCGUGCAAAGGUAGCAUAAUCAUUAGUUCUUUAAUUGUGAUCUGGAAUGAAUGGCUUGACGAGAUGCAAGCUGUCUUAGGUUUUGAUGAAAGUUUUGUUGAAUUUGUUUUCUGAGUUAAAAUUCUUAGAUGUUUUUAUGGGACGAGAAGACCCUAUAGAGUUUUGACAUCCUUUUGUAUUAUUAUAUGUUGUUUGUUGUUUUUUUUAAUGGAUUUGUGAUGUUUUGUUGGGGUGAUGGGAAGAAUUUAAUUAACUCUUCUUUUCUUUAUUACAUUUAUUUGUGGUCAUUUUGAU